rnacentral:rRNA from 1 species
GACGAACGCUGGCGGCGUGCCUAAUACAUGCAAGUCGAACGCAGUGGGGACGGGUGAGUAACCCGUGGGUAACCUCCCAUCACAGGGGGUAACACUUGGAAACAGGUGCUAAACCGAUACUGAUUGUUGGACCCGCUGUGCAUUAGCUAGUGGGUGAGGUAACGGCUUACCAAGGCCACGAUGCAUAGCCGACCUGAGAGGGUGAUCGGCCACACUGGAACUGAGACACGGCCCAGACUCCUACGGGAGGCAGCAGUAGGGAAUCGUCGGCAAUGGACGAAAGUCUGACCGAGCAACGCCGCGUGAGUGAAGAAGGUUUUCGGAUCGUAAAACUCUGUUGUUAGAGAGGCGGUAUCUAACCAGAAAGCCACGGCUAACUACGUGCCAGCAGCCGCGGUAAUAC